rnacentral:rRNA from 1 species
CACGUAGGGGGCAAGCGUUGUCCGGAUUUAUUGGGCGUAAAGAGCUCGUAGGCGGUUCGGUAAGUCGGGUGUUAAACCCCCAGGCUCAACCUGGGGACGCCACUCGAUACUGCUGUGACUUGAGUCCGGUAGGGGAGCGUGGAAUUCCUGGUGUAGCGGUGAAAUGCGCAGAUAUCAGGAGGAACACCGAUGGCGAAGGCAGUUCUCUGGGCCUUACCUGACGCUGAGGCGCGAAAGCUAGGGGAGCGAACAGG